CCUACGGGUGGCAGCAGUGAGGAAUAUUGGUCAAUGGGCGCUAGCCUGAACCAGCCACGUAGCGUGAAGGAUGACUGCCCUAUGGGUUGUAAACUUCUUUUAUAUGGGUAUAAAGUGCAGCAUGUAUACUGCUUUGCAUGUACCUUAUGAAUAAGGAUCGGCUAACUCCGUGCCAGCAGCCGCGGUAAUACGGAGGAUUCGAGCGUUAUCCGGAUUGAUUGGGUUUAAAGGUAGCGUAGGCGGUAGGUCAAGUCAAGGGUGAAAUCCCCGGGCUCAACGUGGGAGCUGCCUUUGAAACUGGCAAACUGGAGUGUAUGAGAGGAUAGUGGAAUUCCAAGUGUAGGAGUGGAAUGCGUAGAUAUCUGGAGGAACAUCAGUGGCGAAGGCGACUAUCUGGCACAUAACUGACGCUGAGGAGCGAAAGCGUGGGUAGCAAACAGGAUUAGAUACCCGGGUAGUC
rnacentral:rRNA from 1 species